AGCUAAUACUUGCUUUAGCACUCUUGAUUAAGUUCUUGAGUGUGUACUUGUUAAGCCUUUUAAGAAAAAAGUUAUUAACUUAAGGAAUUAUAACAAAGAAGUAACACGUAAUGGAUCCGUCCGUUUUUAGUGUGUAUCAAUCGAGUUUCUGACCUAUCAGCUUUUGAUGUUAGGGUAUUGGCCUAACAUGGCUAUGACGGGUUACGGGGAAUUAGAGUUCGAUUCCGGAGAGGGAGCCUGAGAAAUAGCUACCACAUCUAAGGAAGGCAGCAGGCGCGUAAAUUACCCAAUUCUAAAGGAGAGGGGUAGUGACAAGAAAUAACAAUACAAGGCCAAUCUGGCUUUGUAAUUGGAAUGAUGGGAAUUUAAAACCUUCCCAAAACUCAAUUGGAGGGCAAGUCUGGUGCCAGCAGCCGCGGUAAUUCCAGCUCCAAUAGCGUAUAUUAAAAUUGUUGCAGUUAAAACGCUCGUAGUCGAAUUUCAAAGAAUCGACAUUUUAAGUAACGCUUUUAGCUUAAUCCACAUAACUGAUACUACGUAUCGACUUUGUGCGCAUUUUGCUAUUAUGUGUUCUUUUAAUUAAAAUGAUUCUUUUUAAGGUCUUUCUUUUGCUCCGGCAUUUGAAGAUCUUGUUACUUUGAGUAAAUUAGAGUGUUCAAAGCAAACAGAUAUAGCAUUGCGCGUUUGAAUACUACAGCAUGGAAUAACAAAAUUGAACAAGUCAGAAUUUUGUUCUUUUUUCUUAUUUUGGCUUAGUUACGAUUAAUAGGAGUAGCUUGGGGGCAUUUGUAUUCAGAUGUCAGAGGUGAAAUUCUUAGAUUUUCUGGAGACAAACAACUGCGAAAGCAUUUGCCUAAAAUACUUCCAUUAAUCAAGAACGAAAGUUAAGGGAGUGAAGACGAUCAGAUACCGUCGUAAUCUUAACCAUAAACUAUGCCGACUAGGCUUUGGAUGAAAGAUUUUAAAAUAAGA
rnacentral:rRNA from 1 species